AGCAGCCGCGGUAAUUCCAGCUCCAAUAGCGUAUAUUAAAGUUGUUAGCAGUUAAAAAGCUCGUAGUUGAAUUUCGGGAUCAAAUUGUUGGUCGUGCCUCGGUACGCACUGGUAUUAUUGGUUCCUACCUUCUGAAGAACCGCGAUGUCAUUAAUUUGGUGUCGUGGGGAAUCAGGACUGUUACUUUGAAAAAUUGAGUGUUUAAAGCAGGCUUACGCUUGAAUACAUUAGCAUGGAAUAAUGAAAUAGGACGUUUGAUUCUAUUUUGUUGGUUUCUAGGAUUGACGUAAUGAUUAAUGGGAUAGUUGGGGCAUUAGUAUUCAAUUGUCAGAGGU
rnacentral:rRNA from 1 species